AACGCGAAGAACCUUACCAGGGCUUGACAUGCACGGAAAUCCGUCGGAGACGGCGGGUCCGCAAGGGUCGUGCACAGGUGGUGCAUGGUUGUCGUCAGCUCGUGUCGUGAGAUGUUGGGUUAAGUCCCGCAACGAGCGCAACCCUCGUCCCGUGUUGCCAGCACGCUCCGCAAGGGGUGGUGGGGACUCAUGGGAGACCGCCGGGGUCAACUCGGAGGAAGGUGGGGACGACGUCAAAUCAUCAUGCCCCUUAUGUCCUGGGCUGCACACAUGCUACAAUGGCCGGUACAAAGGGCAGCCAAGCCGUGAGGCGGAGCGAAUCCCAAAAAGCCGGUCUCAGUUCGGAUCGGGGUCUGCAACUCGACCCCGUGAAGUCGGAGUCGCUAGUAAUCGCAGAUCAGCAACGCUGCGGUGAAUACGUUCCCGGGCCUUGUACACACCGCUACAGU
rnacentral:rRNA from 1 species